GAUGAACGCUGGCGGCGUGCCUAAUACAUGCAAGUCGAGCGAACGGACGAGAAGCUUGCUUCUCUGAUGUUAGCGGCGGACGGGUGAGUAACACGUGGAUAACCUACCUAUAAGACUGGGAUAACUUCGGGAAACCGGAGCUAAUACCGGAUAAUAUUUUGAACCGCAUGGUUCAAAAGUGAAAGACGGUCUUGCUGUCACUUAUAGAUGGAUCCGCGCUGCAUUAGCUAGUUGGUAAGGUAACGGCUUACCAAGGCAACGAUGCAUAGCCGACCUGAGAGGGUGAUCGGCCACACUGGAACUGAGACACGGUCCAGACUCCUACGGGAGGCAGCAGUAGGGAAUCUUCCGCAAUGGGCGAAAGCCUGACGGAGCAACGCCGCGUGAGUGAUGAAGGUCUUCGGAUCGUAAAACUCUGUUAUUAGGGAAGAACAUAUGUGUAAGUAACUGUGCACAUCUUGACGGUACCUAAUCAGAAAGCCACGGCUAACUACGUGCCAGCAGCCGCGGUAAUACGUAGGUGGCAAGCGUUAUCCGGAAUUAUUGGGCGUAAAGCGCGCGUAGGCGGUUUUUUAAGUCUGAUGUGAAAGCCCACGGCUCAACCGUGGAGGGUCAUUGGAAACUGGAAAACUUGAGUGCAGAAGAGGAAAGUGGAAUUCCAUGUGUAGCGGUGAAAUGCGCAGAGAUAUGGAGGAACACCAGUGGCGGAGGCGACUUUCUGGUCUGUAACUGACGCUGAUGUGCGAAAGCGUGGGGAUCAAACAGGAUUAGAUACCCUGGUAGUCCACGCCGUAAUCGAUGAGUGCUAAGUGUUAGGGGGUUUCCGCCCCUUAGUGCUGCAGCUAACGCAUUAAGCACUCCGCCUGGGGAGUACGACCGCAAGGUUGAAACUCAAAGGAAUUGACGGGGACCCGCACAAGCGGUGGAGCAUGUGGUUUAAUUCGAAGCAACGCGAAGAACCUUACCAAAUCUUGACAUCCUUUGACAACUCUAGAGAUAGAGCCUUCCCCUUCGGGGGACAAAGUGACAGGUGGUGCAUGGUUGUCGUCAGCUCGUGUCGUGAGAUGUUGGGUUAAGUCCCGCAACGAGCGCAACCCUUAAGCUUAGUUGCCAUCAUUAAGUUGGGCACUCUAAGUUGACUGCCGGUGACAAACCGGAGGAAGGUGGGGAUGACGUCAAAUCAUCAUGCCCCUUAUGAUUUGGGCUACACACGUGCUACAAUGGACAAUACAAAGGGCAGCGAAACCGCGAGGUCAAGCAAAUCCCAUAAAGUUGUUCUCAGUUCGGAUUGUAGUCUGCAACUCGACUACAUGAAGCUGGAAUCGCUAGUAAUCGUAGAUCAGCAUGCUACGGUGAAUACGUUCCCGGGUCU
rnacentral:rRNA from 1 species